rnacentral:rRNA from 1 species
CCGAUGGAGGGGGAUAACUACUGGAAACGGUAGCUAAUACCGCAUAACGUCGCAAGACCAAAGAGGGGGACCUUCGGGCCUCCUGCCAUCGGAUGUGCCCAGAUGGGAUUAGCUAGUAGGUGGGGUAACGGCUCACCUAGGCGACGAUCCCUAGCUGGUCUGAGAGGAUGACCAGCCACACUGGAACUGAGACACGGUCCAG